GACUAUGGAAGAAUAGCAUAUCCUAAGGGAGAUUAUAAUUAAAGCAUAACAGAUUGUAUUUUUCUUUUUCAGAGGAAUUACAAAGAUCAAGAUGAAUUCAGUGAAGCUUCCCAUAGGACUGUUCAAAGAUCUCCAGGUCUCUCAGCCGUGGAUACCAGCACCUGCUCCAGUGGAGUUAGCAAGAAAAUGAAGUGGACUCUGUGAGGAACCUUACUUGUGUUUUUGACAUCCUGUGCGCUCUCAACUCCAAAUUCUCUCUGCUCAAGUCAUCAAGACUACUGGGGUCAAACUGAACUUUCCCUCUCUUCUCUGUGACCAGGAAAUUCACUACAGGUAGGAAACUCGACAGUCAUAGGAUUACCUUUAUUUGUUUCUGUUUUCACAGGGAUUCCUGGCAUCACUACCAAUUAAUUAAAG
rnacentral:lncRNA from 1 species